rnacentral:rRNA from 1 species
GCUGGUGAUAUUUCCGACAGGGAAACACCCGUUCCCAUUCCGAACACGGCAGUUAAGCCUGUCAGGGCCGAUGGUAGUUGCGGCCAUCUCGCCGCUGCAAGAGUAGGUCGUUGCCGGCC